rnacentral:lncRNA from 1 species
CCCCCCAUCUUCUGCAGCAGGCUCUGCAGUGGAUUCCCAUUCCUCCUCUAUUUCAAUCCUGCUGUCCCUGGGAGAGACUGUAAGUUGCUACUUAUUUGAUUUAGGAAACAUGGGCUUAUUAGACCUCCUCCCCUCCUUCCUUCCAUGUUUCAGAUGGGGAUGGAGUAACAGCCCCAUGGGCACUCAGCUGGCCCUCACCCUGACCUCAGCAGGGAUGUUGACUUACACGUGCCCAGGGCAGCAAAUGGGAGGGGAAACAUGAGAAGACACAGAUCCUCACCAUAUCUGAAUGAGAACCACAUCCACUCUAGAAUGCGCCCCCCCACCCCAAUGCAGAGAAGGCUUGGUACAUAACCACACAUCACUGAGGGUAAAUAAGUUCUGGUUGUAAGAAUCCUACAUCCCUACUCCCCAUCUAUGUGCCCUCACCAGGAGUCUUUUGGAAAAAAGAAGCACAGUGAUGAUGAAUAGAUCCAGGCAGCAGUUUUAUCCAAGCAGUUGAUAUCUCAGUUGGUUAUCAACUGAGAAAUUUAAGCAGUGUGAAUUUCUCCUUCUCUUGAGUUCCAAGAGCGCACAGCAGGCAUCAUCAGUAUUUCUCUUUAUUGUGGUUCGUUUUCUCCCCUAAUACAUUUCUAUCUUUUCUGUUUAAAGGUAGGGGUAAUGUCUUAAGCAUUCUGUUCAGGAUCGAGCACAAUACAGGAGCUAGAGGUACCAUCUAGUAAGGCAACAGAGGUGCUCAAAAGAUGCUUGAAAGACAGAAGAAUGAACAAAUGCAUGAAUAUAUGAUCUACUGUUUCCUCUCCCAGCUCCAUGAUGUCCUGCCAAAGAUAAGCAGGAAAAAGAGAAGCCAUAAGUUCUGUAGUGAUUUUGACAUGGAACUACAUUCGGCCCAAAGCAUCUUUUUUCCUCUCUCUAUUUACUCUGGACAAUCUGUCCCUUAUCAGAUGAGCUUGAGGCUCCUUGGAAAUAUACGUAUUUUAUUUGAAAAUAUCAUCUUCUUCCAGUUUUGUUUUGCUGCACAGACAUUUGUCUGCUUUGCUGUGUGUUAUGCAUCAGAUAGGACUCAGACAAACAGCUUUGGCUUCCUAAACUGUUUUGUUUUCUCCAUUCGAUUAUUCUUUAUCUCAUUUCCCUUCCUGCAUCUCUCUCUUCCUCCCAAGUUUCAAUUCACCGACAAUGAGAGAGCACAAGUUCAUUGUUACUCAGCUUCACUGAGGGCUAGAAAGGGCACAGAAGUAAGAAGGUCUGAGAGUUAGUCCCCAUUUUCCGCUAACAAGCAGUAUGACCUUCCACAGAUCACCUUUUCUAUCUCAGACUACUUCUCCUUUGCAAAAUAAAGUCUGCUCUUGACUGCCACAGAAUCUAGGUGCAAUAGCUUGAAACUCUGUGGAUACCAGGUGCAAUAAGGGUUGUGCCAUUUUCCACAUCCAGUGCAACAGAGGAUGAAUCCUCAUCACUCUUGGCUUUGGUUCAAAGCAAUGGUCUGGUGUCCAUUGAAGCCCCCCUCACCCUCCUACCUCAGAUACUCACACCACACCCUGAGAUGCCCCCACCAGGGCAGCUUUAUGAGCCUGCGAUCUGAGCAGUUGCACAGGGCCUGGCAAGCAGAAGGGCACCAUGCUUGGUUUUACUCUGUUGCUGCCAUCUUGAAAGUCUUCAUAAUUUUUGAACAAGGGGCCUGUGUUUUCAUUUUGCGCUGGGGUCGCAAAUUAUGUAGCUAAUCUUGCCCCUCUUCUUCCACCACUCCUCCUCCAAAUCAUAGAACUAGGAAGCAUUAGGAAGAGGGAUACGAUGGUACUGCUUUGCCAGCCACAAUCGCCCCAACACAGAGCCUUGCCAUGGAAUUCCCUCCUUUAUAAAUAUAAAACCCAAAACCCAAGAAAGGACAAGGUGGGAGAACAAGAAACUGGCCGCAGGCCCCACCCCUAUCGACCUUCUCCAUCUUGGUAGCUAUGGGGCCCUGACUCAUGCCAGGGUGUGGUUCACUAUUCCUGCCAAGCACGGGGCUCCUCCCUGCUUGUAGGGCUCAGGAAGAAACGUGGGUUGCUCUGGUGUGGAUGUGGAACCACCUAGACCCCACCCAACAUCACAGAGCUGGGCGGGAUCUUAGUGCAGAAUGCAGGCUACUGUCACAAUUCACAUUCUUUAUCAGUGAAACAAACCACCAAAGAUUAGAGAAUGGAUUGACCCAACUUCACACUGUUAGCCAGCUUCCCAGGCUGCUCUCCGCAUCAAUUCUCUUUGGAUCCAUUCCCCUUUCUACAUAUUUGAGAUCCACAGAGAAAAAAUCUACUCCUCUGUCACACAGAUAACCAGUCCACACUCAGUGUGGAGACCAGCAGAUUCUGAUGCUCAAUUUAAAUGGGUCAAGUUAAAUUAAAGAUGCCCUUGAUAUUUUAAAACUCCAGGAAGACAAAAUGAUUACCAGUGGCUCUUUUCUCUUAUCCCAAGCUCUUCUGAUAGCCUGACUCAUUUCACAGGUCUCAGCAGGAAAGAAAUCAAAGGAGGAGGUGAACCUUGACAAAAAUUAAACAUGUAAAUAAAGAAAUGUGUGAUCAACUACAAUGCAAAUGAGACAAGCCUUUGAAACAUUGAGACUCCAAGGAAAAGAGGAAGGGCACUAGUUAGGAUGAAAGGUACUAUAUAUCAAUGUAGGCCUGGAGAGUUACUCCUGAGUCCCAGCUCACUAACUCUCUGGGUGAUUCUGGGCAAGUGUAUCUCUGGGAAAUUUCUCUCCCUGGCCUUUGGCUUCCUGGUCAACAGCAUGAAGAAGAUUGGACACACUCAAGGAGUCCUUUCCAGGCCUGGCUUUCUGGGGUUCUAAGUGUCACUUGUAAUCACCUCUAUAUCAAAGACUGAUUUGCAGGGUAAAAUGACAUUUUAGGACCCACGUUGGCAUAGCAAAAAAAUGGAAGAAGUGAGAGAACUCAAUUUAAAAGAUUGAGUACUUGAGUCUCUGUCAUGGCUCAGGGCUAAUGAAACUGACUAGUAUCCAUGAGGAUGUAGGUUCAAUCCCUGGCCUCGCUCAGUGGGUUAAGGAUCCGGUGUUGCCAUGAGCUGUGGUGUAGGUCACAGAUGUGGCUUGGAUAUGGUAUGGCUGUGGCUGCGGCUAUGGCUGGCAGCUGCAGCUCCAAUCCAACCCCUAGCUUGGGAACUUCCAUAUGCCAUUGGUCUGGCCCUAAAAAGACAAAAAAUAAAAAGUUGAGUUCUGACUAUAGGAAGUGACACCGAGAAGAAAUUGCUAUAGAAUUCUUCUAAUGUCAAAGUGAGAAGAAUACAACUCUGAGUGACAGAGUAUAUGGGUGAGGGAGUGAUCCUAUUAUCCAAGGCGAGGCCCUGGGCAAUGGAGACCCCACUCCAAAGUGACUCAGUUUGGACUGACCCCCACCCCAAGUACAAUCACUUGAACAGUUAUUCUGCUCUGUUGGGAUAUGUGAAGAAUGAAGAACAAGUAGACUUUAAGGCCAGGCCAUGUUCCUGAGGGAAUAGCACACUAGGUCAAGGAGGGUGUUCUUAAUUUUCACCUUUAUUAUAUUGUGGGGACCAUGUUCCAUGAUUGUCUUGACAUUUGAUGAGUUCCUGUGAGCUGCGACCAAACUGCAAAGAGACAGCCUUGAAUAUCCCCUCCAGGUCCCAUCAGGAAGGGCAGGGGUUGUUCCCUUUGCCUGACUUAGACCUUGACCCAGCUGCACUCCCACAACAUAAAGGAGUAGGCAUGUCGGUAUCAGCCCGUGGCAUCUGGACCAAAGCCAGUCCCGCAGUGUGGGCUUCAUGACCCCAGCCUCAGGCCAGACAUUUACCCCAGGGCCUUCUUUAGUGCAGGGUCCAGGAAAGACAACCCCGAAGCUAAUGUCUGAUGUGUAGGCAGUCUCUGCACCAUCUGCCCCAGAACUUUUCAUUAAAAAUGCCUAUUUUCAGAGUUCCCAUCAUGGCGCAGCAGAAACAGAUCCGACUAAGAACUGUGAGGUUGCAGGUUCAAUCCCUGGCCUUGCUCAGUGGGUUAAGGAUCGGGCAUUGUCAUGAGCUGUGGUGUAGGUCACAGACGCAGCUCAGAUCCCGUGUUGCUGUGGCUAUGGUGUAGGCCGGCAGCUGUAGCUCCGAUUAGACCCCUGGCCUGGGAACCUCCAUAUGCGGCAGGUGCAGCCCUAGAAAAGACAAAAAAAUGCCUAUUCUCAGGCCCCAUUCUUGAUCUGCUAAAUGAGAAGCCCUGUUGCAGGGCUGGUGCUGGGCCCAGGAAUUUCCAUGUUAAGAGGUCCUGCCAGAGGACUGUUCUUCACAUAAAAGUCUGAGAAGUAGAGUGUUACACUGUCCCAACCUACUGUCAGAAAACUCAGAAAUGGAAUAGGUUGUGAAAAGCCCAGAGGCAGAAGCUCAGAGAAGGUAUCAGGCCUCACAGCAAGGAGGCAGUAGGCAAAGCCAUGUGGCAGGGUGAUAGGCAGAGGGGACUACGUGGUAAAAUUAGAGGACAAAACGAAUUUGUACCUAGAUGACCCACAGCCCUUCCAUGUCUGUCCUGCUCCCAACUGUAGGAUAUGAGAGCUCCUAGGUGAACUCUGAGUUUCCACAUUCCCCAUCCCAAAUUCUAAUAGCUGGAUACCGGUUCUCUCACUGCCUGAUUAUACACAAGAGAGGUGCUUGCUUCACAACAAUAACAAGAAAUAAAAAAGAUGCAAGGGACAGGGACCAGAGUCACCCGAAUGAUGAAAAAGUUCACAGAGAAAGCCUGAAGGCUCUUGUGAAGGGAAGGAGUUUAGCCAGCCAUCCAUGCUUCCAGAGAUGCUCUCUGCCAUACGCAGAGUAUGGGGCCAGUGAGGACAAGCUCCAGCUCCUGAGAGUUUUCUUAAAGCACCUAGGUGACGUGGGAACUGCAGAGGGAACCUGCCACACAACAUGCCAUAUCCGUUUUCAGAGGGUGUCAACACCCUCCUUCCCACACCUGCUGUUCCCAAAUAUCACAACCUGAUUUUUUUCUCCAGCCUCCUGUCUUGAUGACGAUGAUUAAAUAUUCAUGGAAUGCUGUGAUGCCAGCAUACUUUGUGAAAUUUCAGAUACCUUUUUUUUCAAACGGAAGUUUUUUUUUCCCAUUUCAGAUUAUCCCGAUGUUGAAGAGAGGUAAAAAGAAUGACAAACACCAGUGACUCGGAAAGUAGAAACUGAAGGAAAAGAGCUAGCAUCCUAAGUUUUUUCAAUCGUGUUUCAAGCCCAAAGGGUCCCACAUUAAGAAGAGAAAGAAGGCACAGAAUCUAGAAAAACAGAGACAUCGAGGAGUUGUUCAUGCUACAAAGGAAUUUUUCAUUUUACCUUGAGGUCCAUUUAACAAAAUCCCCAACUCUGGGUAAAGUACAAAUAAAUUCCUUAUAUAUGUAUUUAUUUAUCAUUUAAUUAAUUACUACACAAAGCUCACCUUAUUU